GAUGAAGAACGUAGCGAAAUGCGAUAAGUAAUGUGAAUUGCAGAAUUCAGUGAAUCAUCGAAUCUUUGAACGCACAUUGCGCCCGUCAGUAUUCUGGCGGGCAUGGCUGUUCGAGCGUCAUUACGCCCCUCAAGUCCCCUGUGGACUUGGUGUUGGGGAUCGGCGAGGCUGGUUUUCCAGCACAGCCGUCCCUUAAAUUAAUUGGCGGUCUCGCCGUGGCCCUCCUCUGCGCAGUAGUAAAACACUCGCAACAGGAGCCCGGCGCGGUCCACUGCCGUAAAACCCCCCAACUUUUUAUAGUUGACCUCGAAUCAGGUAGGACUACCCGCUGAACUUAAGCAUAUCAAUAAGCGGAGGA
rnacentral:misc_RNA from 1 species